rnacentral:rRNA from 1 species
CCCUUAGAUGUUCUGGGCCGCACACGCGCUACACUGAAGGAGGCAGCGUGUACUCCUGGAUCGAAAGAUUUGGGUAACCCGCGAAUCUCCUUCGUGCUAGGGAUUGAGGUUUGCAAUUAUCCUCCAUGAACGAGGAAUUCCCAGUAAGUGCAAGUCAUAAGCUUGCGCUGACUACGUCCCUGCCCUUUGUACACACCGCCCGUCGCUACUACCGAUUGAAUGAUUUAGUGAGGACUUCGGACUGGGACCGAUGCGGCUUUCGGGCUGCGUCGGUAUUCUGGAAAGAUGUCCAAACUGUAUCAUUUAGAGGAAGUAAAAGUCGUANCA